rnacentral:rRNA from 1 species
UGGGGAAUAUUGCACAAUGGGCGCAAGCCUGAUGCAGCCAUGCCGCGUGUAUGAAGAAGGCCUUCGGGUUGUAAAGUACUUUCAGCGGGGAGGAAGGUGUUGUGGUUAAUAACCACAGCAAUUGACGUUACCCGCAGAAGAAGCACCGGCUAACUCCGUGCCAGCAGCCGCGGUAAUACGGAGGGUGCAAGCGUUAAUCGGAAUUACUGGGCGUAAAGCGCACGCAGGCGGCCUGUCAAGUCGGAUGUGAAAUCCCCGGGCUCAACCUGGGAACUGCAUCCGAAACUGGCAGGCUUGAGUCUUGUAGAGGGGGGUAGAAUUCCAGGUGUAGCGGUGAAAUGCGUAGAGAUCUGGAGGAAUACCGGUGGCGAAGGCGGCCCCCUGGACAAAGACUGACGCUCAGGUGCGAAAGCGUGGGGAGCAAACA